CAGUAGCCACGGGAAUACGUAGGGUGCAAGCGUUAAUCGGAAUUACUGGGCGUAAAGCGUGCGCAGGCGGUUUUGUAAGACAGAGGUGAAAUCCCCGGGCUCAACCUGGGAACUGCCUUUGUGACUGCAAGGCUGGAGUGCGGCAGAGGGGGAUGGAAUUCCGCGUGUAGCAGUGAAAUGCGUAGAUAUGCGGAGGAACACCGAUGGCGAAGGCAGCCCCCUGGGAUAACACUGACGCUCAUGCACGAAAGCGUGGGGAGCAAACAGGAUUAGAUACCCGAGUAGUCCCUGUCUCUUAUAC
rnacentral:rRNA from 1 species